rnacentral:rRNA from 1 species
GAUGAACGCUGGCGGCGUGCCUAAUACAUGCAAGUCGAGCGAACGGACGAGAAGCUUGCUUCUCUGAUGUUAGCGGCGGACGGGUGAGUAACACGUGGAUAACCUACCUAUAAGACUGGGAUAACUUCGGGAAACCGGAGCUAAUACCGGAUAAUAUUUUGAACCGCAUGGUUCAAAAGUGAAAGACGGUCUUGCUGUCACUUAUAGAUGGAUCCGCGCUGCAUUAGCUAGUUGGUAAGGUAACGGCUUACCAAGGCAACGAUGCAUAGCCGACCUGAGAGGGUGAUCGGCCACACUGGAACUGAGACACGGUCCAGACUCCUACGGGAGGCAGCAGUAGGGAAUCUUCCGCAAUGGGCGAAAGCCUGACGGAGCAACGCCGCGUGAGUGAUGAAGGUCUUCGGAUCGUAAAACGCUGUUAUUAGGGAAGAACAUAUGUGUAAGUAACUGUGCACAUCUUGACGGUACCUAAGCAGAAAGCCACGGCUAACUACGU